CUUAAGUGGGGAAUAACGCAUCGAAAGGUGCGCUAAUACCGCAUAAUCUCUGAGGAGAAAAGCAGGGGAUCGCAAGACCUUGCGCUUUUAGAGCGGCCGAUGCCUGAUUAGCUUGUUGGUGAGGUAAAAGCUCACCAAGGCUUCGAUCAGUAGCUGGUCUGAGAGGACGACCAGCCACACUGGGACUGAGACACGGCCCAGACUCCUACGGGAGGCAGCAGUGGGGAAUUUUGGACAAUGGGGGCAACCCUGAUCCAGCCAUGCCGCGUGAGUGAAGAAGGCCUUCGGGUUGUAAAGCUCUUUCAGCCGGAACGAAACGGUCACGAUUAAUACCCGUGGCUACUGACGGUACCGGAAGAAGAAGCACCGGCUAACUACGUGCCAGCAGCCGCGGUAAUACGUAGGGUGCGAGCGUUAAUCGGAAUUACUGGGCGUAAAGCGUGCGCAGGUGGUUUUGUAAGUCAGAUGUGAAAUCCCCGGGCUUAACCUGGGAACUGCGUUUGAAACUGCAAGGCUAGAGUGUGGCAGAGGGGGGUGGAAUUCCGCGUGUAGCAGUGAAAUGCGUAGAGAUGUGGAGGAACACCGAUGGCGAAGGCAGCCCCCUGGGUCAACACUGACGCUCAGGCACGAAAGCAUGGGGAGCAAACAGGAUUAGAUACCCUGGUAGUCCAUGCCCUAAACGAUGUCAACUAGUUGUCGGGUCUUAACGGGCUUGGUAACGUAGCUAACGCGUGAAGUUGACCGCCUGGGGAGUACGAUCGCAAGAUUAAAACUCAAAGGAAUUGACGGGGACCCGCACAAGCGGUGGAUUAUGUGGAUUAAUUCGAUGCAACGCGAAAAACCUUACCUACCCUUGACAUGUAUUGAAACCCGCAGAGAUGUGGGUGUGCCCGAAAGGGAACGAUAACACAGGUGCUGCAUGGCUGUCGUCAGCUCGUGUCGUGAGAUGUUGGGUUAAGUCCCGCAACGAGCGCAACCCUUGUCAUUAAUUGCCAUCAUUUAGUUGGGCACUUUAAUGAGACUGCCGGUGACAAACCGGAGGAAGGUGGGGAUGACGUCAAGUCCUCAUGGCCCUUAUGGGUAGGGCUUCACACGUAA
rnacentral:rRNA from 1 species